GAGUUUGAUCCUGGCUCAGAUUGAACGCUGGCGGCAUGCCUUACACAUGCAAGUCGAACGGCAGCACGGGAGCAAUCCUGGUGGCGAGUGGCGAACGGGUGAGUAAUAUAUCGGAACGUGCCCAGUCGUGGGGGAUAACGCAGCGAAAGCUGUGCUAAUACCGCAUACGAUCUAUGGAUGAAAGCGGGGGAUCGCAAGACCUCGCGCGAUUGGAGCGGCCGAUAUCAGAUUAGCUAGUUGGUGGGGUAAAAGCCCACCAAGGCGACGAUCUGUAGCUGGUCUGAGAGGACGACCAGCCACACUGGAACUGAGACACGGUCCAGACUCCUACGGGAGGCAGCAGUGGGGAAUUUUGGACAAUGGGCGCAAGCCUGAUCCAGCAAUGCCGCGUGCAGGAUGAAGGCCUUCGGGUUGUAAACUGCUUUUGUACGGAACGAAACGGCUCCUAUUAAUACUGGGGGCUAAUGACGGUACCGUAAGAAUAAGCACCGGCUAACUACGUGCCAGCAGCCGCGGUAAUACGUAGGGUGCGAGCGUUAAUCGGAAUUACUGGGGCGUAAAGCGUGCGCAGGCGGUUAUAUAAGACAGAUGUGAAAUCCCCGGGCUCAACCUGGGACCUGCAUUUGUGACUGUAUAGCUAGAGUACGGUAGAGGGGGAUGGGAAUUCCGCGUGUAGCAGUGAAAUGCGUAGAUAUGCGGAGGAACACCGAUGGCGAAGGCAAUCCCCUGGACCUGUACUGACGCUCAUGCACGAAAAGCGUGGGGAGCAAACAGGGAUUAGAUACCCUGGUAGUCCACGCCCUAAACGAUGUCAACUGGUUGUUGGGUCUUCACUGACUCAGUAACGAAGCUAACGCGUGAAGUUGACCGCCUGGGGAGUACGGCCGCAAGGUUGAAACUCAAAGGAAUUGACGGGGACCCGCACAAGCGGUGGAUGAUGUGGUUUAAUUCGAUGCAACGCGAAAAACCUUACCCACCUUUGACAUGUACGGAAUUUGCCAGAGAUGGCUUAGUGCUCGAAAGAGAGCCGUAACACAGGUGCUGCAUGGCUGUCGUCAGCUCGUGUCGUGAGAUGUUGGGUUAAGUCCCGCAACGAGCGCAACCCUUGUCAUUAGUUGCUACAUUUAGUUGGGCACUCUAAUGAGACUGCCGGUGACAAACCGGAGGAAGGUGGGGAUGACGUCAAGUCCUCAUGGCCCUUAUAGGUGGGGCUACACACGUCAUACAAUGGCUGGUACAAAGGGUUGCCAACCCGCGAGGGGGAGCUAAUCCCACAAAGCCAGUCGUAGUCCGGAUCGUAGUCUGCAACUCGACUACGUGAAGUCGGAAUCGCUAGUAAUCGUGGAUCAGAAUGUCACGGUGAAUACGUUCCCGGGUCUUGUACACACCGCCCGUCACACCAUGGGAGCGGGUUCUGCCAGAAGUAGUUAGCCUAACCGCAAGGAGGGCGAUUACCACGGCAGGGUUCGUGACUGGGGUGAAGUCGUAACAAGGUAGCCG
rnacentral:rRNA from 1 species